CAGAGUUAUCCAACUCCCAAACCCAUGUGAACUUAUCUCUUUGUUGCCUCGGCGAAAGCUACCCGGGACCUCGCGCCCCGGGCGGCCCGCCGGCGGACAAACCAAAACUCUUGUUAUCUUAGUUGAUUAUCUGAGUGUCUUAUUUAAUAAGUCA
rnacentral:misc_RNA from 1 species